GAACCAGCCAAGUAGCGUGCAGGAAGACGGCCCUAUGGGUUGUAAACUGCUUUUAUGCGGGGAUAAAGUGAGGGACGUGUCCUUCAUUGCAGGUACCGCAUGAAUAAGGACCGGCUAAUUCCGUGCCAGCAGCCGCGGUAAUACGGAAGGUCCGGGCGUUAUCCGGAUUUAUUGGGUUUAAAGGGAGCGUAGGCCGUGGAUUAAGCGUGUUGUGAAAUGCAGGUGCUCAACGUCUGCACUGCAGCGCGAACUGGUCCACUUGAGUGUGCGCAACGCAGGCGGAAUUCGUCGUGUAGCGGUGAAAUGCUUAGAUAUGACGAAGAACUCCGAUUGCGAAGGCAGCUUGCGGGAGCACAACUGACGCUGAAGCUCGAAAGUGCGGGUAUCGAACAGGAUUAGAUACCCUGGUAGUCCGCACGGUAAACGAUGGAUGCCCGUUGUCAGGCUGUUUCAGCCUGGUGACCAAGCGAAAGCAUUAAGCAUCCCACCUGGGGAGUACGCCGGCAACGGUGAAACUCAAAGGAAUUGACGGGGGCCCGCACAAGCGGAGGAACAUGUGGUUUAAUUCGAUGAUACGCGAGGAACCUUACCCGGGCUUGAAUUGCAGACGAACGAUUCAGAGAUGAUGAGGCCCUUCGGGGCGUCUGUGAAGGUGCUGCAUGGGUUGUCGUCAGCUCGUGCCGUGAGGUGUCGGC
rnacentral:rRNA from 1 species